AUGCCUCCUACUUAUGAUGAUUAUAUUGAUGAAAGUGGGUUUGGAAAAGUGUCAACUUUAGGAAGUAAUGAUCCCACUAUUUUGGAGGGUGUUGAGUCUUUUAAUAUUUAUGAAAGUGGAUUUGGAGAGGUCAUGACUUUAUUUAGUGAUGAAUCCACUAUUCCGGAAGAGGUUUCAAUUGAUUAUGAUGAGAACAAAGUUGGUACUUAUGGUGAUUAUUGUGAUGACACUUAUGCUAUAAAAAGUAGUGAUGAUUAUAUUUAUAAAACUUGUCAUGAUUAUGUUACCCUUUUGCUGAACAUUACUCUUUUAAUGUGGAAUCAAUUUAUAGUAUUCGAGUCUCUUAUGAUACUCCCACUAUUCCGAAUGAGAGGAAAUUUGCUUAUGUGGAGAGUAGUAAAAUUUCUAUGCUUGUAG
rnacentral:rRNA from 1 species